rnacentral:rRNA from 1 species
UACAGAGGUCUCAAGCGUUGUUCGGAUUCAUUGGGCGUAAAGGGUGCGUAGGCGGCGCGGUAAGUCGGGUGUGAAAUCUUGGAGCUUAACUCCGAAACUGCAUUCGAUACUGCCGUGCUUGAGGACUGGAGAGGAGACUGGAAUUUACGGUGUAGCGGUGAAAUGCGUAGAUAUCGUAAGGAAGACCAGUGGCGAAGGCAGCUCGCUGGGACGGUACUGACGCUGAGACGCGAAAGCGUGGGGAGCGAACAGG